AUGCGCCAGCUAAGGCUCGUCACCAACAUGAGGGUGCAUAACGACCCGUGGUUCACAGAUUACUUGCUACGGGUAGGUAACGGGACCGAGGAACCUGAUGAGGAAGGCAACAUAAGGCUCCCGGAAGACAUUUGUGUGCCGCGAAUAGGAGACAACGCUGACCUAGAGAAUCUAAUCGACCAUCUAUUUCCUGCUCUGGACGACAACAUGGCUGAUCCAAAUUGCAUGACAUCUCAAGCAAUCCUCUCCACCAAGAACAACAACGUUGAUAAGAUAAACACACGCAUGAUAGACGGCUUCCAGGGCGAAGAGAAGUUCUACCACAGUUUUGGUAGUGCAGAGGAUGAUCCACACGGCUACUAUGCCCCGAGUUCCUUAACAACCUGA
rnacentral:rRNA from 1 species